GACCACUUUAGUGUUUAAAUAUAAAAAAAUAAAAAAAAAUAAAAAAUGUAUUCUUCUAAUAUAAAUUUUAAUAAAUAAGCUACAGAUUUUAGUAUAGUUAUUAGCUACUGUAUUAGCUAUUUAACAUUUUUUUUAUAUUUGUUAAAACUUGUUAAUUCUAGACCAAAAUAAGUAUAUAUAUAUAUAUAUAUAUAUAUAUAAAACUAACUAAAAAUAACCUGCAAAGCCCCUUCCCCAUUUCCCUACUACACGACACACACAUGCACACCCACAUUUAAAAUUCACAGCCGCCUUAAACCCCUCAACCAUUCCCCUUUAUCCCAACUCCCUAUCCCUCACGUUCCUUUUAAUUAGGCAGCAAUAUACACGGCACUACUUCCAUUCACCUAUAUAAAUUAACCAUACACACAGUAAAAGGAGGAGAGGAACACAUAUCAGAAAGGGUAGAAAAAAAAGCAACGGAGUAGAGAAAAAACACAUCAGAGAAGCAGUAAGCAAAGAAAAAAAAAUACCGAGAGAUAAAGAAUAGCAGUAUUUGAAAAGGUUUUUGGUUUGAAAAUUAAGUUGGAGUUGGAGGUUUCCGUUCGCGGUUUCGAGUUUGUGGACUUGAAGUUAGUCGUUAUUAACUGGGAAAUCGGUCGAAUACUGUAGCUUCAUAUUAUUAUUUUUCAGCGAGAUAUUUACGCAAAAGAUUAUGUUCCAGAGAUUUCACCCAGACCGCAUCUCUAGCUUGAAGCUAGUUUGCUUGAUCAGAUCUGAGGGUCUUGGGAUGUAGGUUGGUGACCCAUCUAGUAGGUUAUCAGCUCAGCGGCCAGUGUUGUUGCACUCCACUUGUUUCGGAGCUGCCUUGUGAGCCAGCAUGAUUAUACAUCUAUAUGCAUAUGUAUGGGUAUGGCGGGGCCCUGUCCCGACCACGAUAUGUCAUGUACUCCAGUAGAGGCUUGUAGACAGUUAUGUACAGUCAGACAUUGCAUAGUUUUGUUGAUUUAUAUGUUGUAGCACAGAUGCAUAUGAUAGUCGUGUUGGCUCGUUCAUUAUGAUAGUAUGUUUACAAAGUUGAGAGUCUUUAUAGACUAUUUUAUUCAGUCAUGUUCUCCUAUGAGUCAGUGAGCUAUCACAUGAUGGCCCUAACGGCCUACCUAUAUUUAUUUUUAUGUUACAGACGUAUGCCAGGUGGUACUUGGCUAGUAUGGUCAGGUGCCCGUCAUGGCCCUCCAGUUUGGGUCGUGACAGUGAGCUUCUAUCCAUGCCAUGCCGCCUGAAGAUCUUU